rnacentral:rRNA from 1 species
GCACAAGCGGUGGAUGAUGUGGUUAAUUCGAUGCAACGCGAAAACCUUACCCACCUUUGACAUGUACGGAAUCCUUUAGAGAUAGAGGAGUGCUCGAAAGAGAACCGUAACACAGGUGCUGCAUGGCUGUCGUCAGCUCGUGUCGUGAGAUGUUGGGUUAAGUCCCGCAACGAGCGCAACCCUUGUCAUUAGUUGCUACAUUCAGUUGGGCACUCUAAUGAGACUGCCGGUGACAAACCGGAGGAAGGUGGGGAUGACGUCAAGUCCUCAUGGCCCUUAUAGGUGGGGCUACACACGUCAUACAAUGGAUGGUACAAAGGGUCGCCAACCCGCGAGGGGGAGCCAAUCCCAUAAAGCCAUUCGUAGUCCGGAUCGCAGUCUGCAACUCGACUGCGUGAAGUCGGAAUCGCUAGUAAUCGUGGAUCAGAAUGUCACGGUGAAUACGUUCCCGGGUCUU